CCAGGGCCGGAAAGUUGGUCAAACCCGGUCAUUUAGAGGAAGUAAAAGUCGUAACAAGGUCUCCGUAGGUGAACCUGCGGAGGGAUCAUU
rnacentral:rRNA from 2 species